UGCGGGCAGAGCCUGCCGGCGGCGGCAGCUCCCGGCCACCGACCAGAGCCGGCACCGGCGGCAGCCGGGAAGACGCAAGGAGCCCGGGCAGAGCCGCCCCCGCCGGCCCGUGCCCCGGGGCUGGGGGCCGCGGGGGCCGCUGCUCGGCCGGCGGCAAACCCUGCCCGCCCCCUCUGCCCGCCCGAGGGGGGGGGGGGGGGGAGUGCGGGGCGGGGGGGGAGCGGCCCCCGCCUCCCGCUUCGCCCGGGGACCCGCCGUCCUGCCCUCGACACGGCAUCACGACUCCCGGCCGCCCUGCCCCGGCCGUGCCCGCACCCUGGAGCGGACGAACGAACGGACGGACGGACGGACGGACGGACGGAUGGGCGGCAUCCCCGACGGAGGGAUGUUUCUGUCUUUGGUUAUCUAGCUGUAUGAGUGUUGUGGAGCCAUCAUAAAGCUAGAUAACCGAAAGUAGAAAUGACUUCCAGACCUACUCGCCCGGGGGAAGCGGCCGCACCAGGACCGGCGGUGCAGAGGCGACCCGACCCGCCGCCCUCGGGGCUCCAGACAUGACUGCCAGUUUGCGGAGUGGGAUGCCUUGGGAAGGGCUGGGACGUCUCCACCUGAGCAAGGAGAGAUCCCAGUGAGUGGAGAAAGGACUUUUCAAGCCCGUGAGUUCCUUCUUGCAGUUGGAUGCCACCUGCCCAGACUUGCCAUCUGACGUCUCCAGGUUUCUCCAGGAGGGUCCUGACCUGCUUCUCCAGUGGCCCCAGAGAGAAGGUGUCUUUGGCUCAUGAACACAGAGGGUUUCUGCAUUACUUCAAUUCAUGCCCGUCCAGCUGUGGGGAGGCAGCCAGGGCAACACAGGGAGCCAGGGGAUCAUCCCACACCACUCCUGUACGUUGUCUUUGGUGCCCAAAAUACCCUGGAGCAGGACCACAGUGCUUAGGCAGAGGGAUCUGAGCAAACCACCGUCUCACCUGGCAAAAUAACUGGGUGCCCAAAGGUUGGAGGGAGCUUUUACCACCAGGCUUUGCUCAUGGAGCAGAGCUCAGCCCUUGCUGCUCUUCAUCCCUGGGUGUGCGGAGCUGCAGGAGUGCAGCCAUCCCGACGGUGCUGUGCUCGGGGCCCAGGGCACUGUCAGUCUGUCCGGGCCAGGCAGCCCGACUGCUGUUUUACUGCACCCUCUCUGUUCCUGUAAGAGAAACGUACUGGCUGUAAUUCUCUCCCAUUAAAAUCCCCCCACCCCAUGCACUGUUGAAAAUAAACUCUCCCUUUUUGCAAAA